rnacentral:rRNA from 1 species
GCGCUGCGGCGGCCUACACAUGCAAGUCGAGGGGUACGCUGAACUUGUUUCAGUGGAGACCGGCGCACGGGUGCGUAACGCGUAUGCAAUCUACCUUGUACAGGGGAAUAGCCCAGAGAAAUUUGGAUUAAUGCCCCAUGGUAUAAUUGAAUGGCAUCAUUUAAUUAUUAAAGUUCCAACGGUACAAGAUGAGCAUGCGUCCCAUUAGUUAGUUGGUAAGGUAACGGCUUACCAAGACUAUGAUGGGUAGGGGUCCUGAGAGGGAGAUCCCCCACACUGGUACUGAGACACGGACCAGACUCCUACGGGAGGCAGCAGUGAGGAAUAUUGGGCAAUGGGCGGAAGCCUGACCCAGCCAUGCCGCGUGCAGGAAGACGGUCCUAUGGAUUGUAAACUGCUUUUAUACGGGAAGAAACACUCCGACGUGUCGGAGCUUGACGGUACCGUAAGAAUAAGGAUCGGCUAACUCCGUGCCAGCAGCCGCGGUAAUACGGAGGAUCCAAGCGUUAUCCGGAAUCAUUGGGUUUAAAGGGUCCGUAGGCGGGUCUAUAAGUCAGUGGUGAAAUCCGGCAGCUCAACUGUCGAACUGCCAUUGAUACUGUAGGUCUUGAAUAUUUGUGAAGUAGCUAGAAUAUGUAAGUGUAGCGGUGAAAUGCUUAGAUAUUACAUGGNAAUACCGAUUGCGAAGGCAGGUUACUAACAAAUUAUUGACGCUGAGGGACGAAAGCGUGGGUAGCGAACAGGAUAGAUACCCUGGUAGNCCCGCUGUAACGAUGGAUACUANCUGNUGGUUGGGC